UCCGAUUUACACCGGCGGUCUCCUAUGAGUUCCCGACAUUACUCGCUGGCAACAUAGAACGAGGGUUGCGCUCGUUGGCGGACUUAACCGUACACCUCACGGCACGAGCUGACGACAGCCAUGCAACAAGUGUCUUCAUGUCUUCCUUUUGGGAAGAGGCAUCUAUCUCUAGAUGUUGCAAUCGAUGUCAAACCUGGGUAAGGUUCUUCGGUUAGUAUCGAAUUAAUCCACAUGCUCCACCGCUUGUGCGGGUCCCCGUCAAUUCAUUUGAGUUUCAACCUUGCGGCCGUACUCCCCAGGCGGGAUGCUUAAUGCGUUAGCUGCGGCACAAGAGGGGUCGAUACCUCUUACGCCUAGCAUCCAUCGUUUAGGGCGUGGACUAC
rnacentral:misc_RNA from 1 species